GACGAACGCUGGCGGCGUGCUUAACACAUGCAAGUCGAACGGUGAAGCGCCUUCCUUUUUGGUGGGUGUGGAUGAGCGGCGAACGGGUGAGUAACACGUGAGUAACCUUCCCCCUCCUUCUGGAUAACCGCAUGCAAGUGUGGCUAACACGGGAUAUUCUGGGUCUGUUGCAUGAUGGGUCUGGGACAGUUUUUGUUUCGGUGGGGGAUGGGCUCGCGGCCUAUCAGCUUGUUGGUGGGGUGAUGGCCUACCAAGGCGGUGACGAGUAGCCGGCCUGGGAGGGUGGGCGGUCACGGAGGGGAUGAGACGCGGACAAGACUCCGACGGGCAGCAGCAGGGGAGAAUACGGAACAGGGGGCAGAAGGACGAUGCAGCGACGCCGCGGGGGGGAUGGUGGCCGUAGCGUUGUAAUCCGCUUUCGGCAGAGAAGAAAUGCGGCCGUGUCUGUGGGUGGGUUGACGGUAGCUGGAUAGGAAGCGCCGGCUAACUACGUG
rnacentral:rRNA from 1 species